GAAGGAAGGAAGGAAGGAAGGAAGGAAGGAAGGAAGGAAGGAAGGAAGGAAGGAAGGAAGGAAGGAAGGAAGGAAGGAAGGAAGGAAGGAAGGAAGGAAGGAAGGGAAAACUCAGCAGUGUUGGCUCUGAGCACAGCCCAGGAAGGACAGAGAGGGAUUAAUUCACCUUCACCAUGCUGAGCUUGUGCAAACCCCAGGCAAAGCUGAUUUCUCCGGGAGCAGAGGCGAAGAAAAGUUGAUUUAUCUGCUCAGAAAUGCUGCUUUGUUCUCUAACAAUGGUCCCCAGCCCUUGAGAAACACGACAGCACGCUGAAGGGGAAGGGGAGCUGUCUUACUACAAAACCAGUAUGAACACAACCAUCCUCUCCUCUUCUGGGGCCCUUGCUGAAGACAGACGGCUCAGCAGUCUGGCAGUAAUGGAUAAAUCUCAAAGGGCAAUAUUUCAGCUUAUAUAAGGGGAUGGGGCUUCCUGCCAAGAGAGCUUCUACAAUUUACAUCAGGGAGGAUUUGGCUGGAGAUAAAUCAGGUAAUCAUUCCCCUGGAGGAGCUGCGGUACCAUCAGCGCUCACCUGUCUGCUCAGCAUCAGAGCCAAGCCCGUCCUGCCUCGGGCAGCUCCAGUGCUUUCCCUGGAGCUGCUGGAUGCUGAUGAAGCCUUGCUGAGCUGAGGCUCUACCUGAUGCUCACAGGGAGGUCUCCAGCAGGCAGAGGAGGAGCUUCCUUUCCCUCUGCCCUGCUUGCCUGCAGCUUUGUUGUAUAAAUAAAAAGCAA